AGUAUUAACUAAAAAUAAAAUAAGUGACAGAAUUGGGAUUAGGGUAAAACGCUCCUAUCCUCAGACUCUCUUCUUCUCACGUUGCUCGUUCGCGAACACCAAACGGUGUCGCUCCGAACUUCUUCUCCGGCGAAUCAAAGCCAAACGCCGCCGCAAACCGAGUUCACCUCUCAUCGCAAACUCAAACUCUCAUUCGUACCUCCCUAACCCUAAAUUCCACAAAGUUUGAUUAGAUGCCCUAGGACGCAUGAAUCAAGCGAAAGCUAUAAAGGGAAUCAAUCAACAUAUAUCAGGCGACAUCGCGGCAUCAAGGAGAGAAGGAAAGACGGUGAAUUGAUGAAGAAUCGCUUUGAAGCUUACCUACGGAACAGAGGCUCGUUCCGGGGUUCGUUGCGAUACGAAGGCUAGGUCGAGUCGACGAGGAAUCUGGAGAUAAGAUUGGGGAUUGUGAUGCGAAGAGAAGUGGGGUCAAUUGAAUAUUGUUGAUGCGUUUGGCUAUGAUGAUUGAAGGUGCUGCCGAGAAUUUGAGAUUGAAGAUGAUGAGAGCGAAGCCUGAAGAAGGUGAAGAUGGAGAUGGAAUGGUUGAAGAAUGUAUGGCGGAUUGAAGGUGAUGAAUAUAGGUGAAGAUGAAGGUUGAUUGAUUAUGGAGGUUUUGAAGAAUGAAAAAGAUGAUCAUGAGAUUGAUGGAGUGGUGAAGGGAGAGUCGUUGAUGAAGAAGCAGGGUGGUUCCGGUUUUAUAGAGUUUGCAGUAGGAUUCACUUGUAUAUGCAAGGCUGCUAGCUAUGUGUUUGGCGGUAACAGGUUUUGAAUAUGAUGUACGUUAUGGCUGCACAUGUGGUAAUGUUUGUAUGAUAUUUUUUCUGGUUUUGCUGCAGGGGCAUAAUGAAUGUGGAGCUGAUUUGUAUGGGCUGAAUGAGGGACUGGUAAUGGAUUGAUUCGGAAGGAAAGGUGUGCUGAUGAUGUGAUGAACAACCCAAAGGAACACAUGGAGAUUUUUUCCAAGUAAAGCAGAAGGUGAAAUCAGGAUGAAGCUUAAUGAAGUCAUAGCAAUCUUUUAAUAGAUCUCUUUCUUUUUGUAAUGGACUUGGAUUAUAUGUAAAUGAACAUGGCUCUUGUAACUUAAUUUGCAUUUCCAACUAUUCACUUA